AUUUUUUCCUGUAUUUUCCACUUCCACUUGCCUCUCUCAGCUGCUCUAUUUUUGCAUGGUUGUUUUUUUUUUCCUAUGGCAGCCAAUUAAGUUAUUGCAUUUCAGCUCCCAAACUGUACCCAUCUAUACUAGAAUUUGUGAUGUUGAAACUGCGACUUGGCUAAUUUCAUUUCAGCGUUGUCAGUUGCUUCUCCUUAUGCUUUGUCAAUAGGGGACGAGACACACACACACAGAGACAGAGAGAGAGAGAGAGUGCAAAGCAAGGCAAGGCAAGAGGAGUAAGAAGGUCAUUAUGCAAUCUUUCUCGGACUCAGCUCUCUAAUUCUUAAGAUCAGCAGUCUCAAAGUACCAUCUGUGUACUCCUGGGAGCUCCUAAGACACUUUCAAGAGCCACAGCAAAAGAGAUGAAAUUCUGCCUGAACUAUUAUCCUCCAUUUACAGUUAAGUAAACUGAGGCCCUGGAAAAUGAGGCACUUUAGUUUUAAAAGCUGCUAAAGUCUAUUGCUACAUCAUGCAGUUUCAGUUCUGGACUCCACAUUUUGCUAGGGACAUUACCAACUAUCCAGAAGACAGAGAUGGGAAAUGUAAAGGGACUGCAAAAAAGCCAUGUUACAUAAAGAACCGUGAAAGAAACUGGAAAUAAUUUCCUUAGAGGACAGAAGAUUCCUAGGAAAUAAGACAAUGAACAAUGAGUGUUGGAGAAUGUCCUUUCCUGCCUCUUAAUCAUUCUGAAUCGAAACUAAUGAUAAACUUCAAUCAAUGACAUUGAGGGGAUGGGUAAGGGAUAAUAUAAAGAGUCCUCUAUGCAUGCUAAUUUGUUGUUACAUGUGACCUAAGAUGGUGGUUUCUUGCUUUAAAGACCUUACUAAUCAUUACAGAGUAUUCUUAUUCUCUGCUCAAUAAUUUGGAAAUGACUUAGGUCCUGUAACUCUCUGUGUCUCUAAUUUCUGAUCUCUGUAUUCAUCCAUGCUGUCUUUAGUACAAGUAUUUAUUUAUGUAGACUUCCCUUGUUCUGUUCUUUAUGUUACAUGGAGGAAAUUCUGAGAAACUUCAUCAGUAGCACUAUGAAACUCCUUCCAUACAGAACAGUCUAGAACAGGCAUUGUCAAACUGGGCUAAAUCUGUUCUGCCAUCUGCUUUUCUAAAGAAAAUGUUGUUGGAACACAACCACGUUCAUUCAUUUCUGUAUUGUCUGUGGCAGAGAUUGACCAUCACGAUAGAGACCAUAUGAGUUGAAAAGCCUAAAACAUUUAUUACCUGGCUCUGAACAGAAAAUACUUGCUGACUUCUGGUCUGGAACAGCACUGUGUAUAUACCUCAGGUUUAAUACUGGAAGUCUCCAUUAGUCCUUCUUCAGAGGUGACUAGAGUGCACAGUCAUAAUGACAGGGCCCCAAGGACUUCUCUAACUCACACUCCCUGUCCAGUCACCUUCACUGCAACAACCAUCUUACCAAGGGGUGCUGUCACUGCUCCUGUCCACUUUCUGGCCGUCAGAUGCCUCGAGAGUUCUUCUUGCCCUUGAUAAGGAAUAAACUUGUCAGUUGCAUGUGGCAGUUUUUCAACUGAUUUGGGAGAUGAUGCAGAUUUUGCUAUUUCUUAACUUUCAAUUGUUGUGUUUUCUGGUUCUCAGUAGGGAGACAUGAAGAAAAUUGCUGAUUCCCUUCAGUUAAAUAACAGUUUAGAUUAAACCAGCAAGAACUUUUGCUCUUUAAUAAAAUGCAAAGUUACCAUGCCUUUCUCCGGCUCGAUCAUUCAUGCAUCAUAAUGUGAAUGGAGUUGUAGGAGUAUGAUGUUUAUUCUCACAAUAGGUUUAAUUCUGAGUAAAAGCACUAAUUGAAAAAUCAGAAGAAUUUUGUCUUUAAGAGCUCAUGUUAAUGCAUGCAUUCAUCCAUCUGAAUUUUGAUGAUCUCGGUUUUUUUCUGUGUAAAUUCUUAUCAGAAUGGAGUGACUCUAAAUUGCGCCCUGCUUGUAACUUUCAUGUAUGAUUUGCUCCCUUGUUGUUUACCAGCCCUUUUAAAACUACAUAGUAGAAAGAAAAUAUUUUAAACAAUGUCACAUCCAGACGGUGAUUUCUCAAAGCUUCAAAUGCAGGCUUUAAUCCUUCUCCCAGGUUAGCCAGACUCAGGCUGCUGCACAGCACUGGGGCUUUUCAGACACAUUAAGGAUUCUGGACAGGCUUCACCCCAGACACCCUUGUGCUC
rnacentral:lncRNA from 10 species